UCUCUCUCCUCUCCUUCACUCACGUAAAACUCAAAGGAAACAAAAACCCUCUUUCCCUCUUCUUCCUGCUGCACGUGAACAAGAACCUCAAGCCCCUCUUCUCGUCGCCGCCGUCCAGCCGACCACCGUCGUCCUUUACCGAAGCCUCAGCCGCCGCCUCCGCGCCACCGCAGUAUCCGCCCAGUCAUUGCUGCGCCGCCGCGUCCUUCGCCCACACCAGAAACCUCUCCUCUCCCUUCUUUCUCCUCCACGCACGCAACGACAUUCCCUUCUCUCGUUGCUUCUUUCUUCCUGCCCCACAAACUCAGCCGUCGCUGCACGGCCACCGCAACCACCAGCAGCGUCACUCAGCCGCUGCACCACCUGCCCGCUUGUUGCCGCACCACCUUGUCCACCGGCAGCUUCUUGUUUUCUCUCUUUGGUGGAGAAUUCUCCGUAGGCGACUUUUGAAUU